rnacentral:tRNA from 1 species
AGCUCAAGGAGUAGGGCACCGGCCUCAUAUACCGGAGGUGGCGGGUUCAAAUCCUGC